GGUGACGUGGCCGAGCGGUUAUGGCGCUAGUUUCAGGAACUAAGAAGCGGAAAACUUCUAAAUAGUGUAAUAUACUAGUUCGAAAGAGCAUGGGUUCGAAUCCCAUCGUCAUCA
rnacentral:tRNA from 1 species